CUUGUCCAUAGGGGUAUGGAUGUGUAUUGGCUAAAUUUGUAAGUUGUAUAUGUGCAAUUUUUCUGAAACUUGGACAUAUUUUUGGACUUGUACUGUACAUUACACACACAAAAGAUCUGCCAAAAAGAAUAGGUCAAUUUUUUUUAAUGAGACAAAACAUUAUAAAGAACUAAUAGAGGAAUUAAUUGUGGUCUCGGGCCUAAGAGGCUGAUUCCCAAAAUCUUGAAAAUAAAGAAUUGACCAACUUUAUUGGCAGAAAGUCACUUCAAAUGAUAAAUACUAGUUGAUUAUUGUAUUUUUAACUUAUAUAUAUCAUGAUUCUGGGAUAAUGGGCACUUUGGGGGUAUUUUUGGCCAUUUUGAUGCACUGAAAAACCUUUGACCCCUGUUUCAGCCCUUUCUGUCAAUUCUGUUGGACCCUUUUUAUUUUUAGAAUAUAUUACUACUCUUAUGUCUUUCUAAAACAAUAUCUUCAAAAUGGAUGCAUUUUUACAAAAAUAUAGACAAAAACUGAAUGAUAGCUCUGCACCUGGCUAUAAUGGGCAGUGUCAAAUUUGGACAGGUUUAUGUACACCUAAUGGCAAAUAUGGGGUUAUAAAUUGUAAAUUUCCAGAUGCCAGAGGGUGGAGACAAAUGCAUGUGCACAGGCUUGCCUACAUGGUGCAUCAUCAGAAUAUUUUUAUUGAUAAAUCUUAUGAUGUUUCGCACCUGUGCCACAAUUCUAAAUGUAUUACUGUCGGGCAUCUGUCGUUGGAACCUCAUGGCUUCAACAACAGCCGACAGUCGUGCGUUUCAACCUGUUCCUGCUUGGGCCACCCAGAACCCCUCCCUCCCUGUAGAGUGGAGUUGAAAAUGGAUAAUAAUAAUUUGGGUAAAAUAUUAAUUGGGUACAUUUAUUUUUAUAACUAUCCAAGGGAAGGGCUGGCAAAAAAAUUGAAAUGAGGGAGAAAAAGAAAAGAAAUUUCAAGACUGAUGUACAACAAAUUCAGAUUCUUUUUUUAAUAUUUGUGUGGCCCUUAAAAGGACCUUUUAUGAUUCUGUUUGCUGUUGGUCUUUAGGUGGAUCAGCUGGUAUCUCAGUCAGCAGCAGGUCUUGGAUUGAGCUUCGGUUUACAGUAGCUGUCAUGGUCCUGGAAAUGUAAGGCAGGUUGUGGAUCUAAUUGGUCUUUGCAGUAAUAAUCGUGCUUUUUAUUCAUUUCCCUCCAUGUUUUGUGCUCGGCUAACUUUUCUGCACUCUGCUGUAAUCUCCUUUCUUGAACUGCUGGUCUCAGUUCAUAAUCCUGACUGUAUUUGAAGUUGGUGUCCAUUUUCUUCAGGUAAAGUUGACUUCUAGUUGAAAGGUCUACUCCUAAAUUCUUACAUUUCAGUUGGGUUGAAGUUCCUGGCAUAUUGUUAUUUCGAUGCACUCCUGAGGCAAGUCGUCCUUCCAUAUUUUUGGAGUAAAUUACAUUUUUUGGCAAAUUUACACUCAUUGCUCUGUGAACUCCUUCAUUUUUAUUUGUAUUAUCAUACAGUUUCAUACUUUCAACAGCUGCUUUUGUUAGUUUCAUUUUCAGGAUUUCUUGUAGUAAAAAUUUGUCUGUUUUAUCCAUUUGCAGGGCAGUGAUUUGGUAUGUGGACAAGUAAUGGGAACGACUCCACCAGUUAAGUGCAGCAUCACCUUUGCAGACAAUGGAAUGUUCCUGACACAGGGUGCAGUCACCAUCAUAGCAGCGAAGAGUUGCAUCUAGAACUUUUGGUAAGUCUUUACUCAUAUCGUGAAUGUUUUUGUCGUACUUUUCCAUCAGUUUAUUAAUUAUCAUGGAGCAUCUGCACUUAAUAUCUUUGCUAAACACUGUCUUUAGUUGUCUAUUUUCUUCUUUUGUUUUACCAUGGAACAUUCCCGCACUGUAUUGAGCACGACUAGAGGCCCUGAAUUGAGACUGCCCCAAAUGUACUGGAUCUGCUAGUCUUUCUACCUCCCACAUUGGUUCCAGAGCUUUAAUAGCAUCUUCAAUACCUCUAGCUGAACGUCCAUCUCCAUCUGUGGUCACAUACCGUACAAGAAAUUUCUGUAGUCCUAGCUGGUUCCCCAUCUCUUUUCCCAGCUCAUACUCUGACAGGGCAGCAGCUCUGUAUAAAUUUGAAGUACAUUCUUCAUGACCAGGACAUUCUAUUGGAAAGCCUUUCCCUCUAAGCCAAGCCCCUCUCCAGCACAUCUUGUUCUGCACAACUGCAGCUACAAUAAACUUUCUGUCUGUCAUUGUUUCAAUACCAAGUGCGAAUGCUUGAGUGGCAUUCUGACCCGGCUUCUUUUUACUAACAAUUGUAUUGCUGUUGUAGCAUCUAGCAUCCACAGUUAUGUUGAUUUCAUUUUCUGGUACACCUCUCUUUCUGUUCUCUUCUUUUACUAGUUCAAGUUUCUGUGCCAUGUCUGUUUUGUUGAGAUUGACCAUUUCAGCUGCUACUCUGUUAGAUGUGCGUUGCAUACUGCUUCGGCAUGGUGGUGGUGUGUCAACUCCUGCAAGUAGUUGCUGCACCGUGGUAUUACCAAUUGGGCAAUCCUGCAAAGCAGAUGCAAGGGCUACAUUUGGUUGUCCUGGGUUGGGUCCUGGUUUGCCAUUAGCUAUUUCUUUAUACAUCUUCAUUCUGUCUCCAAUAAAACCACAGGUUUUGCAUUUCAGGGUAUACUGCCAGCAAGUUCCCCACUUUUUCUGUGCAUGAUAGUCCACAUUCAUCCUAGGACAGGAUGGUGACUCCACUUUAUGUUUAUCAUAAGUAGUGUUGAUCAAGCUGGUUGUCAGUUCACUGUCUAUCAAUCUCAUACCAGAAUGUAAUGCGUUGUUUUCUUCUAUUUUUCAGGUUAGCAUUCGCUUGCGGUCGAAGAGUACAGAUGUGACCAGUAGCCUUUUCACAGUCAGGAGAUUGUAAAGUUUGCCGCACGUAGGAAGUACUUGCACUAGCUGAAUCAGGGAUCUGUAUUGGCGUCCGGCUUCUGCUUCUACCACUUGUGCCUACAGGGAACCAUCCAGGAUUUCUUGGAGAGUUGUCUUUCUUUGACCUCUUCUUGCCUUUGCUAUAUGGGGUAUAACCUUUAGUGAACAUUUUAAAAAUUUAACUGGAUCCGUAAUAUCACAACUUGGACUGAUAGCAUAAACUUUGGACAUCCUUAUAUUUAUAAUCAAGCACUGUAUGAUAUCUGCUUUGAUGUACAUGUUUUUCUUUUGAUGCAGUCUGUGACAUGGAUUUCAAGAGACCACCUUCAGAGGCAACUUUGAAUUAACAGAGUUUUCUUAGCAGUAUCCAACUAAGCCAAUUAAUGUACUAUUAGGGGUCCAGAUAAAGAUUGUUUUAUCCAAAUCUAUUGAAAUAGGUUACUUAAUCAUUUAUUAAGAGAUUAAUUGAACAAAGAAGCAUAUUUAUUUUUUUUAUUAAUGUUUUAGAUAAUUUAUUUCUC
rnacentral:lncRNA from 1 species